CCCGGCCUCUCAGAUGGUAAAGAAUCUGUCUGCAAUGCAGGAGACCAGGAUUCAAGCCCUGGGUCGGGA
rnacentral:tRNA from 1 species